rnacentral:misc_RNA from 1 species
GAUGAAGAACGCAGCGAAAUGCGAUAAGUAAUGUGAAUUGCAGAAUUCAGUGAAUCAUCGAAUCUUUGAACGCACCUUGCGCUCCUUGGUAUUCCGAGGAGCAUGCCUGUUUGAGUGUCAUUAAUAUAUCAACCUUCUCUUUUUUGAGUUGUUUGGAUGUGGGGGUUUGCUGGCCUCUUAAAUGAUUCAGCUCCCCUGAAAUGCAUUAGCAGAACAACCUGUUCAUUAGCGUGAUAAUUAUCUAUGCUAUUGAAUGUGAGGGCAGUUCAGCUUUCUAACCGUCCUUGGACAAUUCAUCAUUAAUGUGACCUCAAAUCAGGUAGGACUACCCGCUGAACUUAAGCAUAUCAAUAAGCGGUGGA